UUCAAUUCUGAAAUAUAAACAACGAAUCUAAUUACAAAAAUGGCUUCAAUCUAUCAAUCCAUUUGCAUUCUGUUGAUUCUUACUUUUGCCUCAGUUGAAGUUGGAAGAGCAGAAAAAUGUUUAACCGGAUUCGGCGAAUGUGGAGAAAAAAUAUGUUGUGGUGGAGGAGUCUGCGGCGACGAUUGUUGUGAAACUAAGUGUGUAUCAAAAUAUCCCGAAGGCAAGUCGAGUUGUUCUGGAAAUACUGGCCCAAGAUUGUGUAUUUGCGAACAUGAUUGUUAAUUUGAUGUUUUCUUAGUACUCAUACAAUAAAAGACUUACUUUUCA